rnacentral:piRNA from 1 species
AAGAGUUUUUUGAAUGCCUGAAG